UACGUUCCUACACUUCUAAGAGGAAACACCUGUGCAGCCUUCCCACAGCUCCCAUGGUUCUCUUUUUACCACUCUGAACUUUGGAAAUAAAAAUGCCCAAUCUGUUCAUUAAGGCUUUCUUUAUCCUGAACCUCACCUUUAAAGAAGGUUUUUUGUCCAUUAGCAGUAAGUAUUGUCCUUCCGAUCAAAAAUAAUCCCAUAGACCGUCUAUGGAGGACCUCUUUGUUAUGUGAGGCCUGCAGAGACCUGGCUAGUGCCGUCAGCUUUAGACUGAAGUUUGUUUUGGCUUUUUGUCUUGGAAAGGUAUGUGCGUGAGCGUGCGUUUUGACUUUAAAAUGUGAUAUUUUGAAAAGUUAAUGUUUUUCAUGACUUCAUUUGUCCGUGGCAGGAUUUAUAUUGUAUUGCAAAAAACCUCCAACUCCUGGAUGUGUGUUUUUUUUAAAGUUGCAGAAAAAAAAUAAGAUUGACAGGUGAAAGAGACAUUAAAAAAACCAUAGAACAAUCUCAUAAAAUAUUUAUUAUUCCAAGCCCAAAAUAAUUUAGAGUAGCCUAGUGUAAGUAUCUUCGAUUCAAGGGACGUUUGGAACCAUGCCUAUCAAACAAAAGCAAAUGAAGAGAAAAUAGGAUCAAAAAAGAUUCAUAAACGUAGAAAGUCAUUUAAAAAUCAAUUAAAGAAACUGCGUGGGGAGGGAUGACAAAAUAUAUUUACAUUUUCUUAAUUAGCUAAGUAGGAGAUUUCAUAUUGGAGCAAAUAAGACAUGAUGUAGAAUUAAGAAGCACUAAACAUAAAACAAUCUAAUUUAAAAGAAAAAUAAUAUGGUAUGUAGCAGAAUGGGUAAGCAGGGAAAUGCAACAGGAUUAUUCUGCGAAAGUGUCCCUCGGCAUGAUAUGGAAGGACCCGGAGCCCAUGAUACCAGCCACAAAGUCAGGUUCUGCACCAACAAUCUGACUUGAAGAUGCACAGCUUUCAUAAAUCUAAAUGGAGUGCAAUCAUUUUCUCCUCCCGGACCAGUUUAGUUCUACUAAGAUCUUACUAUGGCUGUACGUUGCGCUCAGAAGGAGCUCUUUGUAGCUCCAAAAUGCCAGUUUUUAAGAAAUUGCUUUUCAGACAUUGCAGAGGCGCCUGAAGCUUUGCGUCUGGGAUGCAGAAGUGCUACCCUCACCGGCUUGGUAAGUCUGCUCUUUCUAUUCACUUCAUUGGAAUCUCCACACAAUGAUCUCUUGAUCCUGAUAGACAUUAUGACAUUUUGGAUAACCCAGUAGUUAAUAUAUGAAUAUGAAUGUAUCUGAAUAUACAUAGAACUCCCAACGAGUAUCUGUGAGAUGACAUUCGUACAUAUACUCUAUAAUGGAAAUUCUUAUACUUUUAAACUUUUAUACCCUUUCAAGCACAAUGUCUGGCAGCAUAGUCCCCAUCUGCACUCCUCGUGGAAACCUUAUAUGGGAACAUUUCAAGCAAGAAUUUCCAAGAGCAGAAGCUUGCUGGAUUGUUGUAAAGAGGAAAAAAAGCAGAUCUAAUCAGAUGGAUAAAGUCUCCAAUGUUCAUAAGUGGUGUUAACACUGGAAGAGGAGGAAACUUUCCAGGCAGAACCCAAUCAGGACAGAAAUGUUAAUUGUUCCUACCAGGAUAUAAAGAGGCCCCAAUGUUUUCCAAGAAGAUAUAAAAAGCAGCAUCACAAGGCAGUGGGUUUGAUGCUUUCUCCUCAGUGCAACACAAGCAGGCAGCAGAUUUCCUACAAGAUGCAGUGUGAUGGAACUAAAUGGAAAUAUAAAAAGCUGUGUACAUUACCAACCUAUCAUACACAAAUAAUAAACGUGUAUAAAUCCUUCUGUCUUUUUCUUUUCAUUCAUCCUGUACCAUGUAUUUUAACAAAUAAAAUGAAAAACUUAAACCCAUAAUAACCAGAUACUAGACAGCAAGUACAAUACAGGUGUAUACUAGACAUUUUCCUAUGGCACCUUAAAGAAUAAG